UACGUAGGGGGCUAGCGUUGUCCGGAAUCAUUGGGCGUAAAGAGCGCGUAGGCGGCCAGGUAGGUCUGCUGUGAAAACUCGAGGCUCAACCUCGAGACGUCGGCGGAAACCAUCUGGCUAGAGUCCGGAAGAGGAGAGUGGAAUUCCGGGUGUAGCGGUGGAAUGCGUAGAGAUCCGGAGGAAGACCGGUGGCGAAGGCGGCCUGCUGGGCAGUUACUGACACUGAGGCGCGACAGCGUGGGGAGCAAACAGG
rnacentral:rRNA from 1 species